AGCAGCCGCGGUAAUUCCAGCUCCAAUAGCGUAUAUUAAAGUUGUUGCAGUUAAAAGCUCGUAGUUGAAUUUCGGGAUCAAUACGUCGGUCGUGCCUCUGGUAUGAACUGGUGUUAUUGAUUCCUCCUUUCUGAUAAACCAUGAUGUCAUUAAUUUGGUGUUGUGGGGAGUCAGGACUGUUACUUUGAAAAAAUUAGAGUGUUUAAAGCAGGCCUACGCUUGAAUACAUUAGCAUGG
rnacentral:rRNA from 1 species